UACGUAGGCAGCGAGCGUUGUUCGGAAUUACUGGGCGUAAAGAGUGUGUAGGCGGUGCUCUAAGCUCGGUGUGAAAUCUCCCGGCUUAACUGGGAGGGUGCGCCGGAAACUGGAGUGCUCGAGCGUGGGAGAGGAAAGCGGAAUUCCUGGUGUAGCGGUGAAAUGCGUAGAUAUCAGGAGGAACACCUGCGGUGUAGACGGCUUUCUGGACCAUUGCUGACGCUGAGACACGAAAGCGUGGGUAGCAAACAGG
rnacentral:rRNA from 1 species